rnacentral:rRNA from 1 species
UACGUAGGGGGCAAGCGUUGUCCGGAAUCAUUGGGCGUAAAGAGCGCGUAGGCGGCCCAGUAAGUCCGCUCUGAAAGUCAGGGGCUCAACCCCUGAAUGCGGGUGGAUACUGCUGGGCUAGAGUCCGGAAGAGGAGUGUGGAAUUCCUGGUGUAGCGGUGAAAUGCGCAGAUAUCAGGAGGAACACCAAUGGCGAAGGCAGCACUCUGGGACGUGACUGACGCUGAGACGCGAAAGCGUGGGGAGCAAACAGG